UGCGUAGGCGGAUCAGUAAGUCAGUGGUGAAAUCUUUCGGCUCAACCGGGAAACUGCCAUUGAUACUGUUGAUCUUGAGCUCGGCAGAGGUAGGCGGAAUGUGUAAUGUAGCGGUGAAAUGCUUAGAUAUUACACAGAACACCAAUUGCGUAGGCAGCUUACUAGACCGACACUGACGCUGAGGCACGAAAGCGUGGGGAGCGAACAGGAUUAGAUACCCUGGUAGUCC
rnacentral:rRNA from 1 species